rnacentral:rRNA from 1 species
GACCUCUGACCUCAAAUCAGGUAGGAUUACCCGCUGAACUUAAGCAUAUCAAUAAGCGGAGGAAAAGAAACUAACAAGGAUUCCCCUAGUAACUGCGAGUGAAGCGGGAAAAGCUCAAAUUUAAAAUCUGGCGGCUUUUGGCUGUCCGAGUUGUAGUCUGGAGAAGUGCUUUCCGCGCUGGACCGUGUACAAGUCUCUUGGAACAGAGCGUCAUAGAGGGUGAGAAUCCCGUCUUUGACACGGACUACCAGUGCUUUGUGAUGCGCUCUCAAAGAGUCGAGUUGUUUGGGAAUGCAGCUCAAAAUGGGUGGUAAAUUCCAUCUAAAGCUAAAUAUUGGCGAGAGACCGAUAGCGAACAAGUACCGUGAGGGAAAGAUGAAAAGCACUUUGGAAAGAGAGUUAAACAGUACGUGAAAUUGCUGAAAGGGAAACGCUUGAAGUCAGUCGCGUUGACCAGAACUCAGCCUUGCUUUUGCUUGGUGCACUUUCUGGUUGACGGGCCAGCAUCAAUUUUGAUUGUUGGAUAAAGGCUGGGGGAAUGUGGCACCUUCGGGUGUGUUAUAGCCCUCGGUCACAUACAACAGUUGGGAUUGAGGAUCUCAGCACGCCUUUAUGGUCGGGGUUCGCCCACGUUCGUGCUUAGGAUGCUGGCAUAAUGGCUUUAAACGACCCGUCUUGAAACACGGACCAAGGAGUCUAACAUGCCUGCGAGUGUUUGGGUGGAAAACCCGAGCGCGUAAUGAAAGUGAAAGUUGAGAUCCCUGUCAUGGGGAGCAUCGACGCCCGGACCUGACCUUCUGUGACGGCUCCGCGGUAGAGCAUGUAUGUUGGGACCCGAAAGAUGGUGAACUAUGCCUGAAUAGGGUGAAGCCAGAGGAAAC